ensembl:lncRNA
UUACAAAAGCCCCCCCCCCACAAGAACAACAGGUCCCGAGUCAAAGAGCAUCACCCCGGUGUGCAGGGGUUAGGGUUAGGGUUAGGGGUUAGGGUCUGCAGGGGUGGUCUGUAGCCCGGGGGCCGCCGACCACCCCUGCAGACCCUAACCCCUAACCCUAACCCUAACCCCUGCACACCGGGGUGAUGCUCUUUGACUCGUGACCUGUUGUUCUUGUGGGGGGGGGGCUUUUGUAAUUCAAAUGAAACAAAAAAGGCAGAAAAAAAAA